GACGAACGCUGGCGGCGUGCCUAAUACAUGCAAGUCGAGCGAAGUUUUUCUGGUGCUUGCACCGGAAAAACUUAGCGGCGAACGGGUGAGUAACACGUAAAGAACCUGCCUCAUAGACUGGGACAACUAUUGGAAACGAUAGCUAAUACCGGAUAACAGCAUUAACUGCAUGGUUGAUGUUUAAAAGUUGGUUUUGCUAACACUAUGAGAUGGCUUUGCGGUGCAUUAGCUAGUUGGUGGGGUAAAGGCCUACCAAGGCGACGAUGCAUAGCCGACCUGAGAGGGUGAUCGGCCACACUGGGACUGAGACACGGCCCAGACUCCUACGGGAGGCAGCAGUAGGGAAUCUUCCGCAAUGGGCGAAAGCCUGACGGAGCAACGCCGCGUGAGUGAAGAAGGAUUUCGGUUCGUAAAGCUCUGUUGUUAGGGAAGAAUGAUUGUGUAGUAACUAUACACAGUAGAGACGGUACCUAACCAGAAA
rnacentral:rRNA from 1 species